rnacentral:rRNA from 1 species
UAGGGAAUCUUCCGCAAUGGACGCAAGUCUGACGGAGCAACGCCGCGUGAGUGAAGAAGGAUUUCGGUUCGUAAAACUCUGUUGUUAGAGAAGAACAGCGCAUAGAGUAACUGUUAUGCGUGUGACGGUAUCUAACCAGAAAGCCACGGCUAACUACGUGCCAGCAGCCGCGGUAAUACGUAGGUGGCAAGCGUUGUCCGGAUUUAUUGGGCGUAAAGCGAGCGCAGGCGGUCAAUUAAGUCUGAUGUGAAAGCCCCCGGCUCAACCGGGGAGGGUCAUUGGAAACUGUUUGAUUUGAGGGCAGAAGAGGAGAGUGGAAUUCAAGGUGUAGCGGUGAAAUGCGUAGAUAUAUGGAGGAACACCAGUGGCGAAGGCGACUCUCUGGCCUGUAACUGACGCUGAGGCUCGAAAGCGUGGGUAGCAAACAGG